AGAGUUUGAUCCUGGCUCAGGAUGAACGCUAGCGGCAGGCUUAACACAUGCAAGUCGAGGGGCAGCGCGGGUGGCAACACCUGGCGGCGACCGGCGCAAGGGUGCGUAACGCGUGAGCAAUCUGCCCGUGUCAGGGGGAUAAGCGAUGGAAACGUCGUCUAAUACCGCAUAACAGCCAUGGGGGCAUCCCCGGGGCUUGAAAGAUUCGUCGGACACGGAUGAGCUCGCGAGGCAUUAGCUAGUUGGUGAGGUAACGGCUCACCAAGGCUGCGAUGUCUAGGGGGUCUGAGAGGAUGGUCCCCCACACUGGAACUGAGACACGGUCCAGACUCCUACGGGAGGCAGCAGUGAGGAAUAUUGGACAAUGGUCGGAAGACUGAUCCAGCCAUGCCGCGUGAAGGAUUAAGGUCCUAUGGAUUGUAAACUUCUUUUGUACGGGAGCAAUAAGCGCCACGGGUGGCGCGACGAGAGUACCGUACGAAUAAGCAUCGGCUAACUCCGUGCCAGCAGCCGCGGUAAUACGGAGGAUGCGAGCGUUAUCCGGAUUUAUUGGGUUUAAAGGGUGCGUAGGCGGCUUGGUAAGUCAGCGGUGAAACGCAGGGGCUCAACCCCGGAGCUGCUUUGGAAACUGCUGAGCUAGAGUGUGGGAGAGGAAAGCGGAACUUUGAGUGUAGCGGUGAAAUGCGUAGAGAUUAGGAAGAACACCGGUGGCGAAGGCGACUUUCUGGACUGUAACUGACGCUGAGGCUCGAAAGCGUGGGGAGCGAACAGGAUUAGAUACCCUGGUAGUCCACGCCGUAAACGAUGAUGACUAACCGUCGGCGAUACACAGUCGGUGGCCAAGCGAAAGCGAUAAGUCAUCCACCUGGGGAGUACGACCGCAAGGUUGAAACUCAAAGGAAUUGACGGGGGCCCGCACAAGCGGAGGAACAUGUGGUUUAAUUCGAUGAUACGCGAGGAACCUUACCCGGGCUCGAACGGCUGGUGAAGAGAUCCAGAGAUGGUGACGUCCUUCGGGACACCAGUCGAGGUGCUGCAUGGUUGUCGUCAGCUCGUGUCGUGAGAUGUUGGCUCAAGUGCCAUAACGAGCGCAACCCUUGCUGCCAGUUACCAGCGCGUAAAGGCGGGGACUCUGGCGGGACUGCCACCGUAAGGUGUGAGGAAGGCGGGGAGGACGUCAAAUCAGCACGGCCCUUACGUCCGGGGCGACACACGUGUUACAAUGACAGCUACAGAGGGAAGCUACCUGGCGACAGGAUGCAGAUCUCGAAAAGCUGCCUCAGUUCGGACUGGAGUCUGCAACCCGACUCCACGAAGCUGGAUUCGCUAGUAAUCGCGCAUCAGCCAUGGCGCGGUGAAUACGUUCCCGGGCCUUGUACUCACCGCCCGUCAAG
rnacentral:rRNA from 1 species